UCCUGUAAGCAGCAGAAUGUUGGGUCCUGUUUGUGUAGCCAGUCUGUUAGUCUAUGUCUUUUUAUUGGGGAGUUGAGACCAUUUAUAUUAAGAGAUAUUAAGGAAAAGUAAUUGUUGCUUCCUGUUAUUUUUGUUGUUAAAGUUGGCAUUCUGUUCUUGUGCCUGUCUUCUUUUAGUUUUGUUGAGGGAUUAUCUUCUUGUUUUUUUCUAGGGCGUGGUUCCCGUCCUUGUAUUGGUUUUUUUCUGUUAUUAUCCUUUGAAGGGCUGGAUUCGUGGAGAGAUAAUGGGAGAAUUUAGUUUUGUUGUGGAAUACUUUGGUUUCUCCAUCUAUGGUAAUUGAGAGUUUGGCUGGGUAUAGUAGCCUGGGCUGGAAUUUGUGUUCUCUUAGUGUCUGCAUAACAUCUGUCCAGGCACUUCUUGCUUUCAUAGUCUCUGGUGAAAAAUCUGGUGUAAUUCUGAUAGGCUUGCCUUUAUAUGUUACUUGACCUUUUUCCCUUAUUGCUUUUAGUAUUCUAUCUUUAUUUAGUGCAUUUGUUGUUCUGAUUAUUAUGUGUCGGAAGGAAUUUCUUUUCUGGUCUAGUCUAUUUGGAGUUCUGUAGGCUUCUUGUAUGUUCAUAGGCAUCUCUCUCUUUAGAUUUGGGAAGUUUUCUUCAAUAAUUUUGUUGAAGAUGUUUGCUGGUCCUUUGAGUUGAAAAUCUUCAUUCUCAUCCACUCCUAGUAUGCGUAGGUUUGGUCUUCUCAUUGUGUCCUGGAUUUCCUGGAUGUUUUGAGUUAGGAUCUUUUUGCAUUUUCCAUUUUCUUUGAUUGUUGUGCCGAUGUUCUCUAUGGAAUCUUCUGCACCUGAGAUUCUCUCUUCCAUCUCUUGUAUUCUGUUGCUUAUGCUGGCAUCUAUGGUUCCAGAUUUCUUUCCUAGGGUUUCUAUCUCCAGCGUUGCCUCACUUUGGGUUUUCUUUAUUGUGUCUACUUCCCUUUUUAGGUCUAGUAUGGUUUUCUUCAUUUCUAUCACCUGUUUCGAUGUGUUUUCCUGUUUUUCUAUAAGGACUUCUACCUGUUUGGUUGUGUUUUCCUGUUUUUCUUUAAGGACUUGUAACUCUUUAGCAGUGUUCUCCUCUAUUUCUUUAAGUGAAUUAUUAAAUUCCUUCUUUAUGUCCUCUGCCAUCAUCAUGAGAAAUGCUUUUAAAUCCAGGUCUACCUUUUCAGGUGUGUUAGGAUGUCCUGGACUGGGCGAAGUGGGAGUGCUGGGUUCUGAUGAUGGUGAGUGGUCUUGGUUCCUGUUAGUAGGAUUCUUACGUUUACCUUUCGCCAUCUGGCAAUCUCUGGAGUUAGUUGUUAAAGUUGUCUUUGUUUAGAGAUUGUUCCUCUGUUGCUUUUGUUACCCUCUAUCAGCAGACGUGGGAGACUAGCUCUCUCCUCUGAGUUUCAGUGGUCAGAGCAGUCUCUGCAGGCAAGCUCUCCUCUUUCAGGGAAGGUGCACAGUUAUAUGGUGUUUGGACUUCCUCCUGGCUGAAGAUGAAGGCCCAAAACAGGAUCUUUCCCAGAAACCGUGUUGCUUUGGCCAGGAAGGUUGCCGGUUGUCUGGAGCCGAAGGUGGCGCCACCUCAGAAGCUCUGUGGCUCUCGCCAGGAAGGUGGCCGGUUGUCUGCAGCCGAAGAUGGCGCCGCCUCAGAAGCUCUCUUGCUCUCGCCUUUCCCAGAAACGGCUGGCCUCUGUAUUCCACACUGUCACCCGUGCAGCCUGUCCUUCGCGGAGUCCUGGAGCCAAGGAGACUCCCGCCGCCAGGGCCUGAGGCACAAACCUCUCGGGCUGGCGGAUCCCUGUGCACUCACCAGGAAGGUGGCUGGUUGUCUGGAGCCGAAGAUUGUGCCGCCUCAUAAGCUCUGUGGCUCUCGCCAGGAAGGUGGCCGGUUGUCUGGAGCCGAAGAUGGCGCCGCCUCAGAAGCUCUGUUGCUCUCGCCAGGAAGGUGGUCAGGAGUGCAUUUUCUUGUAUAAUGAUUGAUGUGGGCCAGCCAAGUUCACUAUCUGCAAUACCACCCAUGGGCAGUAGAUGCUGGGUGCUAUGAGAAAACAGGGUGAACAAACAAAAGGAGCAAGACAUUAAGCAGCACUCCUCCAUGGUCUCUGUAUCUAGGUUCCUGCUCUGAGUUCCUGUCCUGUAUUCACUCAGUGAAGAACUAUGAUGUGGAACUAUAAGUAAAAUUUCACCUUUCCUCCAAAAUACAUUUUGGUUAUGGUGUUUGUGGUGGUUUAAAUAAGUCCCAGAGGUUCAUAGGUUUGACUACUUAGUCAUCAGGGAGUGGCAUUAAUUGGGAGAGGUUAGGAGGUGUGGCCUUGUUGGAGUAGGUGUGGCCUUGUUGGACAAAAUGUUUAAUAGGGGUAUGGGUUUCGAAGUUUCAAAAGCUUAAGUCAGGCCCAAUGGCUCUCUCCCUUCCUGCUGCCUACAGACCCAGAGAUAUAACUCUUUCUAGUACCAUGUCUGCCUGCAUGCUACCAUGCUUUGCAUCAAGCUGAAAAUGGACCAAACCUCUGAAAUCGUAAACAAACUCCAACUAAAUGAUUUCAUGGUGUUCCUUCACAGCAAUAGAACAUUGACUAAGAUAGUAUUUUAUCACAGCAAUAAAAUCUCU
rnacentral:lncRNA from 1 species